AAGAUUACCCUCGUUCAAUUCCAUUAUACGUGAUAUGUUUGCAUUCUCUGUUCUCUCUUCUCUUCCGGAACCUCGAGCUCGUCUCGUCUCUCACUCUCUCCGAUCUCCUUCUUGUGCCGUGUCUCCACCGUCAACCUGUUGUCGUCCCACCCCUACGUGGUCACCAUCCGCUGUCUCUGAUCUACGGCCAGCUCAACAAUCUCCAAGCUUCGAUCUCCUUCGUGUGCCGCGCUCCUGCUUCUCCUAAGCCGUCCUUCUCCAUUCGUCGACUUGGCCGCCGUUCAGCAAGCUUCAGCCAUAGUCGAAGUAGGUCCGAGUUGCCUUGAUCUAGUCGCCCCAUCUCCGAUCUGCUGGUCUUCAUCCACCAUCGAUUUGGUCUGUGGAAGAAGAAGAUCCAUCUAUUUUGAAGAUCCCCAUCUCGUGCCCUGGCGUCGAUGGAAUCUGAAGAGAUCAACGGCCAAAAUCUACACCGUGCAAGCAUUGGACACAUUGAAGACCAUAUCAGAGGGAUUUAGCUGACUGGUAAUCAUGGACCAGAUUGCGAGUGUGAACAGCAUCAUUGUAGCAAAUCAUUUGACCAACAGAGGAGGUUGGUGAUAAUGUUGCUAUGUAGGUGCUUGAAUAAUGUGAGGAACAGCGAAAUGACAGUGUAUAUGUCAUAUAAGGUGAGAGAGGGAGCGAGCUUUUUAUUUUUUUAAGAAUAAGAGAGGGAGAGAGCUUAACGAAGAAUCUUUAUUAACCUUGUAAGUGUAAUAUAUAUCAAUUUUUUUGGAUUUUUU